rnacentral:rRNA from 1 species
GAUGAACGCUGGCGGCGUGCUUAACACAUGCAAGUCGAACGGAAAGGCCCAAGCUUGCUUGGGUGCUCGAGUGGCGAACGGGUGAGUAACACGUGGGUGAACUGCCCUGCACUUUGGGAUAAGCCUGGGAAACUGGGUCUAAUAUCGGAUAGGACAAUCGUAUAGUGUCGGUGGUGGAAAGAUUUUCGGUGUGGGGUGAGCUCGCGGCCUAUCGGCUUGUUGGUGGGGUAAUGGCUUACCAAGGCGUCGACGGGUAGCCGGCCUGAGAGGGUGUACGGCCACAUUGGGACUGAGGUACGGCCCAGACACCGACGGGAGGCAGCAGGGGGGAAGAUUGAACAAGGGGCGCAAGCCUGAUGCAGCGACGCUGCGUAGGGGAUGACGGCCUUCGGGUUGUAAACUCCUUGCGCCAAGGACGAAGCGUGUUGUGACGGUACUUAGAGAAGAAGCACCGGCUAACUACGUG